UACGUAGGCAGCGAGCGUUGUUCGGAGUUACUGGGCGUAAAGCGUGCGUAGGCGGUGUCUCAAGUUUGUUGUGAAAUCUCCCGGCUCAACCGGGAGGGUGCGGCGAAUACUGAGAUGCUGGAGUGCGGGAGAGGUAAGCGGAAUUCCUGGUGUAGCGGUGAAAUGCGUAGAUAUCAGGAGGAACACCUGCGGUGUAGACGGCUUACUGGACCGUAACUGACGCUGAGGAGCGAAAGCGUGGGGAGCGAACAGG
rnacentral:rRNA from 1 species